GAUGAACGCUGGCGGCGUGCCUAACACAUGCAAGUCGAGCGGAGAUGAUUUGAGUACUUGUACAACGAUCAUCUUAGCGGCGGACGGGUGAGUAACACGUGAGUAAUCUGCCUUUAACUGGGGAAUAACACAGUGAAAAUUGUGCUAAUACCGCAUAAUGUUGCGAGGGGGCAUCCCUUUGCAACCAAAGGAGCAAUUCGGUUAAAGAUGAACUCGCGUCCGAUUAGGUAGUUGGUGAGGUAACGGCCCACCAAGCCUACGAUCGGUAGCCGAACUGAGAGGUUGAUCGGCCACAUUGGGACUGAGACACGGCCCAGACUCCUACGGGAGGCAG
rnacentral:rRNA from 1 species